rnacentral:piRNA from 1 species
UAUAAAGACCAUCCUAAACCUGGAGCAUUC